rnacentral:rRNA from 1 species
CGACCGGCGCACGGGUGAGUAACACGUAUGGAACCUGCCCUAUGCAGGGGGAUAAGCGGAAGAAAUUCCGUCUAAUACCGCGUAACACCUUUAGGAGACAUCUUCUUGGGGUCAAAGGAGGCGACUCCGGCAUAGGAUGGCCAUGCGUCGCAUUAGCUAGUCGGCGGGGUAACGGCCCACCGAGGCGACGAUGCGUAGGGGUUCUGAGAGGAAGGUCCCCCACACUGGUACUGAGACACGGACCAGACUCCUACGGGAGGCAGCAG